UACAGAGGUCUCAAGCGUUGUUCGGAUUCAUUGGGCGUAAAGGGUGCGUAGGUGGCGCCGUAAGUCAGGUGUGAAAUUUCGGAGCUUAACUCCGAAACUGCAUUUGAUACUGCGGUGCUUGAGGACUGGAGAGGAGACUGGAAUUUACGGUGUAGCAGUGAAAUGCGUAGAGAUCGUAAGGAAGACCAGUGGCGAAGGCGGGUCUCUGGACAGUUCUGACACUGAGGCACGAAGGCCAGGGGAGCAAACGGG
rnacentral:rRNA from 1 species